rnacentral:lncRNA from 10 species
GAGAAUGCCGGUCUCGCGCAAGCGCGCACGCGCCGACCUUGAUCUCGUAGCCGGCGCCAGCAGCCGCGCUUUGGGGCGUCGGCUCACGUGGGGCCGGCAACGCGUCUUCCAGGAUGUUCGCGCGCUAGUCGCCGCUGAGGGGCCGGCGAUGCGCGAGGAGUUCCGGCGAGGAAGGUCGGUCAGUGGACAUGGCCGAGGCCCGCGGUGUCCGCGUGUGGGAGCUGCAGGGCUGAGGAGAGGCCGCCCGCAACCCUCGGGAAUCGUGUGAGGUGCCACUGGGGUCGCUUCACAUCAGGAGGCCCCGUCUCGGGGGACGCGCGCAGGAACAGAAUUGCCAUUGGGCCCAGGGAGAGACUACACUUCUUGUCUGCUUUGUUGCUAGUGCGGCCUUGUGGCCAAGCACAGAACGUGUGCAGUGAUGAUGGUGCAACUUCUAGGUCGUCCCCAGCAUGGAAAAUGAGCCCUGGGCAUGGAAGAUGAGCCCUGGUCCUGCAGCGGUGCUCUUUCCUCUUCUCACAAGCUGGAAUGUGCAUGUGCUCCCACCCAGCUUUGACCAUGGGGCGAAAACAGUACUCUGCAGUCUGGCAGAGCAACAAGGUGGAAAGGGCCUGGGUCCUUGAGUGACGUCAUGAGCCCUCUCACUGUCCCGACUUUGGGACUGUUAUAUGAUAAGGACUUUCUGUGAGUCACUGUCUUUUAGAGUCUCUCUGUUUUAGCUGCCUGGACUUUAUCCUGAAUAAUAUGGCUGUUAUCAUGGGUAUAGUGUUACUAUGAGCCUCAUCUAAGUAAUUUCUACUCUGCCUUUGACCACUAAACUCAUGUUGGACAAGAGUCACUUAGCAUUAUUUUUUCCUCAAUGAAGAGGUUAAGAUGGAGGGAGCAGGAGAAAUUGAGGCCUGUGUUUUACCAGAAGGUGAAGGGCUGUCUUUGCCUUUCCUACAUUUAUGAAGGAUAAUUCUAGACAAAAACAUUAAGUUCAUAUCAAACCAUCUGCUUUGUGAAGCCAUGGGCUUUGCUAGAACUUUCUGUGACAUGACAUUUAUUAACCCGAGUCUACCUGGAAGUUAGAGCUGAGGAAGUUUUCCUAGAGUGGAAAAAGUCCAAUGCACUUGUAAAAGUCAGACCAAGCUCAGCUCAGAUUUCAGUUUUAUUAGAAGUAUGUCACCUUCCUGAGCCCUUAUUAUUUCCCCAUCUGUGAAAUGAGGACACCGUUCUCUCUUUCUAAGCAUUGCUGGGAAGACCACACACCACUGAGACAGAAGGUGGGGCUAGCGCAGUUCUGGGCAUUUUGUACACCCCC